rnacentral:lncRNA from 1 species
UGGAAUGGUCUUUGCUAAUUUUAGUCAUAAAUUGUAACUCAUAACAACACAAAAACAGGUCCGUAAUAAGUGGUGCACAGUUAGUCCCCAUUGGAAUUCCAAUAACUUGACGAUAUACGGAAUCUCCAAAGCGAACAAAGAUGUUAUCAAGUAAAAAUUCAAGCGUAUAUAUAGUAUCAAAACAUGUCCAAUUGACAUAGUUAUUUUGUUUAUUGCUACUAAAAAAUGACCUUAAAGAGUUCGAACAUAUGUACUCGCAUUC